rnacentral:misc_RNA from 1 species
GACGGAGGGGGCUAGCGUUGUUCGGAAUUACUGGGCGUAAAGCGCACGUAGGCGGCGGAAUGAGUUGGGCGUGAAAGCCCGGGGCUCAACCCCGGAAUUGCGCUCGAUACUGUUUUGCUUGAGUCCGGGAGAGGGUAGUGGAAUUCCCAGUGUAGAGGUGAAAUUCGUAGAUAUUGGGAAGAACACCGGUGGCGAAGGCGGCUGCCUGGCCCGGUACUGACGCUGAGGUGCGGAAGCGUGGGGAGCAAACAGG